rnacentral:tRNA from 2 species
UGCGGAGUCAGCUAACUGGCAAGCUGCCGGCCUCUGAAGUCGGUCAUAAGGGUUCGACUCCUUUCUCCGCAG